UUGGCUUUUAUACGGCAUUCAAAAUGUGC
rnacentral:piRNA from 1 species